CNNGGCUCAGAUUGAACGCUGGCGGCAGGCUUAACACAUGCAAGUCGAGCGGUAACGAUGGUAGCUUGCUACCAGGCGUCGAGCGGCGGACGGGUGAGUAAUGCUUAGGAAUCUGCCUAGUAGUGGGGGAUAGCCCGGGGAAACUCGGAUUAAUACCGCAUACGCCCUACGGGGGUAAGCAGGGGAUCUUCGGACCUUGCGCUAUUAGAUGAGCCUAGGUCGGAUUAGCUUGUUGGUGGGGUAAUGGCCUACCAAGGCGACGAUCCGUAGCUGGUCUGAGAGGAUGAUCAGCCACAUCGGGACUGAGAAACGGCCCGAACUCCUACGGGAGGCAGCAGUGGGGAAUAUUGGACAAUGGGCGCAAGCCUGAUCCAGCCAUGCCGCGUGUGUCAAGAAGGCUUUCGGGUUGUGAAGCACUUUCAGCGAGGAGGAAGACCUUGAGACUAAUACUCUUGAGGAAUGACGUCACUCACNGNAGAAGCACCCUGGUAGUCCNCGCCCUAAACGAUGUCAACUAGCCGUUGGGGAUCCCGAAUCCUUAUUGGCGCCAGUUACUCACUAAGUUGACCGCCUGGGGAGUACGGCCGCAAGGUUAAAACUCAAAUGAAUUGACGGGGGCCCGCACAAGCGGUGGAGCAUGUGGUUCAAUUCCACGCAACGCGAAGAACCUUCCCUGGCCUUGACAUGCAGAGAACUUUCCAGAGAUGGAUCCGGUGCUUCGGGAACUCUGACACAGGUGCUGCAUGGCCGUCGUCAGCUCGUGUCGUGAGAUGUUGGGUUAAGUCCCGUAACGAGCGCAACCCCUAUCCCUAGUUGCUAGCAGGUAAUGCUGAGAACUCUAGGGAGACUGCCGGUGACAAACCGGAGGAAGGUGGGGAUGACGUCAGGUCAUCAUGGCCCUUACGGCCAGGGCUACACACGUGCUACAAUGGCGCGCACAGAGGGCUGCAAACCCGCGAGGGGGAGCCAAUGUCACAAAACGCGUCGUAGUCCGGAUCGGAGUCUGCAACUCGACUCCGUGAAGUCGGAAUCGCUAGUAAUCGUGAAUCAGAAUGUCACGGUGAAUACGUUCCCGGGCCUUGUACACACCGCCCGUCACACCAUGGGAGUGGAUUGCACCAGAAGUAGUUAGUCUAACUUCGGGANGGC
rnacentral:rRNA from 1 species